rnacentral:rRNA from 1 species
ACUUAAAUUGAAGAGUUUGAUCAUGGCUCAGAUUGAACGCUGGCGGCAGGCCUAACACAUGCAAGUCGAGCGGUAGCACAGAGAGCUUGCUCUCGGGUGACGAGCGGCGGACGGGUGAGUAAUGUCUGGGAAACUGCCUGAUGGAGGGGGAUAACUACUGGAAACGGUAGCUAAUACCGCAUAACGUCGCAAGACCAAAGUGGGGGACCUUCGGGCCUCAUGCCAUCAGAUGUGCCCAGAUGGGAUUAGCUAGUAGGUGGGGUAACGGCUCACCUAGGCGACGAUCCCUAGCUGGUCUGAGAGGAUGACCAGCCACACUGGAACUGAGACACGGUCCAGACUCCUACGGGAGGCAGCAGUGGGGAAUAUUGCACAAUGGGCGCAAGCCUGAUGCAGCCAUGCCGCGUGUGUGAAGAAGGCCUUCGGGUUGUAAAGCACUUUCAGCGGGGAGGAAGGCGUUAAGGUUAAUAACCUUAGCGAUUGACGUUACCCGCAGAAGAAGCACCGGCUAACUCCGUGCCAGCAGCCGCGGUAAUACGGAGGGUGCAAGCGUUAAUCGGAAUUACUGGGCGUAAAGCGCACGCAGGCGGUCUGUCAAGUCGGAUGUGAAAUCCCCGGGCUCAACCUGGGAACUGCAUUCGAAACUGGCAGGCUAGAGUCUUGUAGAGGGGGGUAGAAUUCCAGGUGUAGCGGUGAAAUGCGUAGAGAUCUGGAGGAAUACCGGUGGCGAAGGCGGCCCCCUGGACAAAGACUGACGCUCAGGUGCGAAAGCGUGGGGAGCAAACAGGAUUAGAUACCCUGGUAGUCCACGCCGUAAACGAUGUCGAUUUGGAGGUUGUGCCCUUGAGGCGUGGCUUCCGGAGCUAACGCGUUAAAUCGACCGCCUGGGGAGUACGGCCGCAAGGUUAAAACUCAAAUGAAUUGACGGGGGCCCGCACAAGCGGUGGAGCAUGUGGUUUAAUUCGAUGCAACGCGAAGAACCUUACCUGGUCUUGACAUCCACAGAACUUUCCAGAGAUGGAUUGGUGCCUUCGGGAACUGUGAGACAGGUGCUGCAUGGCUGUCGUCAGCUCGUGUUGUGAAAUGUUGGGUUAAGUCCCGCAACGAGCGCAACCCUUAUCCUUUGUUGCCAGCGGUUAGGCCGGGAACUCAAAGGAGACUGCCAGUGAUAAACUGGAGGAAGGUGGGGAUGACGUCAAGUCAUCAUGGCCCUUACGACCAGGGCUACACACGUGCUACAAUGGCAUAUACAAAGAGAAGCGACCUCGCGAGAGCAAGCGGACCUCAUAAAGUAUGUCGUAGUCCGGAUUGGAGUCUGCAACUCGACUCCAUGAAGUCGGAAUCGCUAGUAAUCGUAGAUCAGAAUGCUACGGUGAAUACGUUCCCGGGCCUUGUACACACCGCCCGUCACACCAUGGGAGUGGGUUGCAAAAGAAGUAGGUAGCUUAACCUUCGGGAGGGCGCUUACCACUUUGUGAUUCAUGACUGGGGUGAAGUCGUAACAAGGUAACCGUAGGGGAACCUGCGGUUGGAUCACCUCCUUACCUUAAAGAA